CGAAAUGCGAUAAGUAAUGUGAAUUGCAGAAUUCAGUGAAUCAUCGAAUCUUUGAACGCACCUUGCGCUCCUUGGUAUUCCUUGGAGCAUGCCUGUUUGAGUAUCAUGAAAUCUUCAAAGUAAAUCUUUUGUUAACUCAAUUGGUUUCUACUUUGGUAUUGGAGGUCUUUGCAGCUUCACACCUGCUCCUCUUUGUUCAUUAGCUGGAUCUCAGUGUUAUGCUUGGUUCCACUCGGCGUGAUAAGUUAUCUAUCGCUGAGGACACUGUAAAAGGUGGCCAAGGUAAAUGCAGAUGAACCGCUUCUAUAGUCCAUUGACUUGGACAAUACUUUUAUGAUCUGAUCUCAAAUCAGGUAGGACUACCCGCUGAACUUAAGC
rnacentral:misc_RNA from 1 species